rnacentral:rRNA from 1 species
UACAGAGGGUGCGAGCGUGUUCGGAAUUAUUGGGCGUAAAGCGCGUGUAGGCGGCGUCGCAAGUUGGGUGUGAAAGCCCUCGCUUAACCGAGGAAGUGCGCCCAAAACUACGAUGCUUGAGUACCGGAGAGGGUGGUGGAAUUCUCGGUGUAGAGGUGAAAUUCGUAGAUAUCGGGAGGAACACCAGUGGCGAAGGCGACCACCUGGACGGCUACUGACGCUGAGACGCGAAAGCGUGGGGAGCAAACAGG